rnacentral:rRNA from 1 species
CGGGGUGAGUAAUGUCUGGGAAACUGCCUGAUGGAGGGGGAUAACUGCUGGAAACGGUAGCUAAUACCGCAUAACGUCGCAAGACCAAAGAGGGGGACCUUCGGGCCUCUUGCCAUAGAUGUGCCCAGAUGGGAUUAGCUAGUAGGUGGGGUAACGGCUCACCUAGGCGACGAUCCCUAGCUGGUCUGAGAGGAUGCCAGCCACACUGGAACUGAGACACGGUCCAG